rnacentral:rRNA from 1 species
GAUGAACGCUGGCGGCGUGCCUAAUACAUGCAAGUCGAACGCAUAGCGAAAGGUGCUUGCACCUUUCAAGUGAGUGGCGAACGGGUGAGUAACACGUGGACAACCUGCCUCAAGGCUGGGGAUAACAUUUGGAAACAGAUGCUAAUACCGAAUAAAACUUAGUGUCGCAUGACACAAAGUUAAAAGGCGCUUCGGCGUCACCUAGAGAUGGAUCCGCGGUGCAUUAGUUAGUUGGUGGGGUAAAGGCCUACCAAGACAAUGAUGCAUAGCCGAGUUGAGAGACUGAUCGGCCACAUUGGGACUGAAACACGGCCCAAACUCCUACGGGAGGCUGCAGUAGGGAAUCUUCCACAAUGGGCGAAAGCCUGAUGGAGCAACGCCGCGUGUGUGAUGAAGGCGUUCGGGUCGUAAAGCACUGUUGUAUGGGAAGAACAGCUAGAAUAGGAAAUGAUUUUAGUUUGACGGUACCAUACCAGAAAGGGACGGCUAAAUACGUG